UACGGGGGGGGCAAGCGUUGUUCGGAAUUACUGGGCGUAAAGGGCUCGUAGGCGGCCAACUAAGUCAGACGUGAAAUCCCUCGGCUUAACCGGGGAACUGCGUCUGAUACUGGAUGGCUUGAGUUUGGGAGAGGGAUGCGGAAUUCCAGGUGUAGCGGUGAAAUGCUUAGAUAUGACAUAGAACACCGAUAGCGAAGGCAGCUUGCUACACAAUUAUUGACACUGAGGCUCGAAAGCGUGGGGAUCAAACAGG
rnacentral:rRNA from 1 species